CAUACCAUUUAGACAAGCUUUGCCCAUAAUGUCUGUGUCAUCGCUGCCUUUUUAUCAUUGGUUCCCAAUGGGAGAGAUGGUGGUGAUCUAGUUGCCUACAUGUGGGGACUAGCUACGAGGUACAUGUCAAUGUCUUUAUGUUUGCAGAAAAUGACCAAACCCAAAAGCAGGCCUUGCCCUCACUGCCAGGUCAUGAAUACUGUCAACCGCAAAACAUGCCUUUCAUGUUUUGCAAGCCUCUCACAAAAAAAGAGGAUUAAGUCCAAGGAGGAGAGUUUGCAUGUUGGUGACUGGGGGGAGAAUGUGAAGAAGCACCGCAACGCAGGCAGAGUGAUAGAUUCAGCCCGCAUAUCUGUCAAUAAGCUGCAUGAACUGGACUUAAAGCCCCUGCUCUUCAUGGGGAAAGAGAAGAGAGGGGGGGGGGGUUUACAGCAGAGGUCAUUGCAGGCAUAGGCUUCAUACCAGAGGGGCCUGUGAGGGAGAUCAUUAAAAAAAUGACCACCCUUUAUGAAUACUAUCUUAAAUACCAUAAUAGCCUCGUUGCCACAGCUGGUGAAGAAACAAGAGAA